rfam:Nicotiana attenuata strain TT chromosome 5, whole genome shotgun sequence.
UGGGCAGAUUAUUAUAUUCGACUGUAUUCACGGCCUGAAACAGGGGAUUACACUGCUUUUAAACGGAAAGUGAAUCAAUUAACAUAAUAGACUCCU